CAAAGUUUCCCCUGAGGAGGUGAACUAUGUUAAUGCUCAUGCAACCUCAACACUUGCAGGGGAUUUGGCUGAAGUUAAUGCCAUCAAGAAAGUCUUUAAGGACACAUCAGAGAUAAAGAUGAAUGGCACUAAGUCAAUGAUUGGACAUGGGCUCGGUGCUGCGGGUGGACUAGAAGCUAUAGCAACCAUAAAAGCAAUCACCACAGGAUGGCUGCAUCCAACUAUCAAUCAAGAUAACUUAGAACCUGAUGUCACAAUUGACACUGUUCCCAACAUGAAGAAGCAGCAUGAAGUCAAUGUUGCUAUCUCAAAUUCAUUUGGCUUUGGUGGGCACAAUUCAGUGGUGGUUUUUGCUCCAUUCGCACCUUAAUAAAAAUUCAAGCCAAACAGUAAUUCUUCUUUCAUCUUUCCAUUGUGGUUUCAAACUUGGGUCAAGUUUCAUAGGGAUAGAUUUGAUAUCAGAAGCAUUCAUGAUUUUUGCUGUGAUGAGUACCAAAGAUUGUGCGGCCC
rnacentral:misc_RNA from 1 species